CUAAUUUUGAUUUUUUUUUCCACUAGCAUGUAUUGGAGCACUCAGGCUUGAAGAAGGACAUAGGUAAAAAGUAUAAAAUGGAACAUUUUCUAACAUUAGGGUUGUGAAAAUUUUCUUAUUGUUUAGUUGCAUACUUGGCAUGUUCAAUCUGAAAAAAAAUUGUUUAUGAAACAAUUUAAAUGAUAUUGUUUAAGCCAAAACAGUUACUUAUAUUUCAUUUCUCUUUUAUUUUUAUAAAUAGAGCAUCAAUUCCCUUAAUCACAAAGGUCAAGAAAGGUUAUCUCAUGUUACAUUAGGACAUACUUAGGACUUCGUAGUAUUUCCCUUCUGUGUGAAAUUUUAUCCAGAAGACUUGAAUUACUUAAUCGUAAAGUGAAUAGCAAACGUGAAUCUAAAACAUGGUUUCAGUUUUUCAGAAUCAGGCCUGCUUUGUCCCUAAAUGCUUUCUUAUUUCCCCAGAGCCCUUAUUGGAUUUAAGCCCCAUAUCAUAUCUCACAUACCUGAGACAGACAUACCACAGUGAACCCUGCAUGUCCUUGUAAGUUCUUUUCCGUGCCUAGAAGUUGCAGAAGACCAAGGAACCUUGGAAGUGACUUACUCUUUUGCUUCAUAAAGUUGCUUUAAAACAGCCUUUAUUUUAAUUAUUAACAAGGUAUGUCACACAUUUUUAAAUUUUAAGGUUAAUUUAGUCAUUAAUUCUGUCAAACAAGUGUUCUUUGGAAACUAGUUGUCUUCAAUGUCUUUUACUUGGAGUUACUUGAAGUUUGCUUAAACUUUAUUCACUUGGAGUAGAACUUCCUAGUUAAAUGAUUGAAAAGGACUAGUUCUGCAAAAUCUAUGAGAACAAGAGCUUCUGCAAAUGCAUAAUAUAAAUUCUCUUCCUUUUUUUUUUAAACUGUAUUUUUACAAACCUAGAUCUCUUCCUGCUUUGAUUUGUCUUUAUCAUAUCUUUCAGAACAAACCUUUGAUGGAAUUCUAGGAAAGGUUGAGAUUAAGAAUAUAUUAAAAAUAUUCCACUUUGUACAUUCUGUUUAUAUUAUAGUAAACUAAGUUAUUUAGCAAGAUAAAAUUAGGAAUUUCACCCAAGGUAUCAAUCAGAUGGAACCAUUAGUCCACUGAAGAAUUUACUUUUUAAAAAAGUUAGUGGAGGAAAGGAGAAGAUGCUGCUUAAGAGUAAUCAGAAAUAAAGAUGGUAAGCAUCAUAUGGUAAAUAUAUACAAGUUUCGUCAAUUUUGUAAAAAAAAAAUACAAAGAUGGUAAGGCAUCUUUGAAAUUGUUGUCAGUAGGAAAUUUCAUCUGAUAUAUAUAUAUAUAAAUUUGUUUCAUAAAGCAAGGAGAAAUGGUGUAAAUAAUACAAGUGUGGCUAUUGACAUAUGAAAAUGUCCAUUUAUUUUGAAAGUGACUACCCCCACAGAUUAUAUAACUGUAGAAUCGAAUACAAAUUUUCUCACUUUUCUUCCUUGCUUUGGCAUUUUUUUAAAAGUUACUUGAAAGUUCAGUUUAGAUUGAAAAAUAAGGGCCUGAUUAAUAGCGCUGUAUCAUGGUAUUAGAGUACAUAUGUUAGUAUUUUCAUGAAAGAGGAAGAGGGUAAUAACUGAUUUACCUAUGAUUAAAAGAUAGUGGUGACAUUUUCCUUUGAAAGUUUGGGCUAGAAAUUUAUAACCUUUGGCCAAUGAAACUACAGUAGCUUCAGUCACUGCUUCCAUGCCACAUCUCUACCUAAAGGGAAGAUGGAAUCCGCCUUCUCUUUUUUUUUUUUUUUUUUUUUUCUGAGACUGAAUCUCACUCUGUCGCCCGGGCUAGAGUGCAGUGGCAUAAUCUUGGCUCACUGCAACUUCCACCUUUCAGGUUCAAGCAGUUCUCCUGCCUCAGCUUCCUGAGUAGCUGGGACUACAGGUGCCUGCCACCACACCUGGCUGAUUUUUGUCUUUUUGGUAGAGAUGGGGUUUCACUGCGUUGGUCACGCUGGUCUCGAACUUUUGACCUCAGGUCAUCCACCCGUCUCAGCCUCCCAAAGUUCUGGGAGUACAGGCGUGAGCCACCAUGCCCAGCCUGAAUCCCCCUUCUCAAAAGUAACUUCCAUUCACUUUGUCCCUGGCAGUCUGCUGGUGACCAUGAUUUCUAAGGCUCACUCAUGGGACCAAAGGCAAGAAGAAAGGGAGGAGGGUGGUAACCAGAUAAACUUUGCAACCCCUUUGAUAGGACUUUUUGGGUGAGAAUUUUUAUGAAAAGUAAUAUAUACUUCUACUAUAGAUCUGCCUCUAGUUUCAACCUCUAGUUUUAGCACUGAUUUUUUCCCCUUAAUUUCCAGAAGCAUGAUAUAAUAUCUUUUUCAAAGAAAGUGGGAAGAAUGUCCACAGAUGUUAGGAGAAGACAAUUAUGUAGGAAAAAUAUUUUCUCAAAUUAAAAUUUAAAACAAAAGUUUGCAGGGAAUGGAGUGGGGUUCAGCAUUAGGGAGGUAGGAGAUGAUAAAAAUACAUAUUAAGUAAUUUGUACCCUGAUAUGCUUUGUAUGUAGAUUGCUUACAACUAACAUGAAAUGAGCAUUUCAUUCCUUAAGCAUGCUGUUGGGGGAAAAUGGGAGCCAGGCUGGAUGCACAAAUUUACACCAGAUGCUCUGUAUCCAGGUAGCAGAAAUGACUAACAGCACUGGUAUCCAUCAGUCCCAGAGCAAAAGCGUCUCCAGAGGAGGACAUCUGUAAAUCCCAAAUCUGAUCUCCUUCAUCAUCAUUAGGCAACAGAUAGGAUAAGACUUCAUGAAGAGAAUUUUGGUGGCUUUAGAUUGUUGAGAAAGUAUAUAUAGGAAAAAACUGGAAAUUAUGUCCAAGAUUUUUUGUCUAACUCCUUAUCCUGAUAUUGUUAACAUUUCACAACUAAAAUAAUUUUAACAGACAAUUAGUUUUUAAAAAUGUAUUUUCAUGACCUGAGACUACAGAAAUUGCCAUUUUCUUAGGACGUAGUUUACAUUUGACUCUGCUUACUGUGUCCAGGGCAUCCCCAAAUUGGGAGAGAUUGCCAAGUCAGUUGCCAUUUUGCCUUACUUUUACCAAGGACUAGCCUACAGGUUCAGUUUUGCUCUUGACUUUGGCCCUGAAUUGAGAACUGAGUCAAGAGAACAGAGUGGAAGUAUGGAGACAAAGCCAGCAGCUUUACUCAAAAAAUAUAUAUGAGUCUAGUAUUUUUUUUGUUUUUGAAAGACAUGUUACUGAGCCCAACCCAGUCAGGGAUCACUGAAUAUUGGGUUAAAUAAAACAAUAAUGUUAUUCAUGUGUUUGAAAUUAAUGUUUUAAAGAACCACGCACACACUUUAAAAUGUAACUGGAUUUGCUAUAUAGGCCAGAGAAAUAUGGCUGUUACGAUGAAGGCGUAACUUCUCUGGUUCUUGAUUAUUUACACCAUUAGAGAAGAAUGCAAAUAUGAAUAGCUCAGAGUAGUUUAACUUUGAAGUGAGAGUUUAUAUGCACCUUUAUAUGUGGGAUAACUGAUGUCUUUGGAAUAGACUUCAAAUGAAUGAUAAAAACACCUGUAAAGUGAUAGGACCUCUACUUUUUCUCAUGUCCAAUGUUCAGUUUCUUAUAAACCAGGCAUGAAGAGAAACAAAAAGUAAUUAAUUCUCCAGAUCAUGAAGUUGUCUUCAACCUAAGCACAGAGGUAUAAUAAUUACAUUUCUCAGAAGUUCCCCCUCUGUUUUGAGUCUCAAGGGCAAUUGAGAUGUCAGUGAGGCUGUGAUUAAAUGUAUUGGAUAUUAGAGGAUUUUAAAUACAAACAAGUAUUAUAGGUGUUACCACUGACCCCGAAGGUAAGAUUUACUGUGAAAAUUUAUAAUGCAAGGAAGAAUGAUCAAGUUGGCUGUCAGAACAACAAAAUAUUACAAACCAGGAUGUCUAAGAGCAGAAGUCCGUGGUUGCCACCUCUCAAGCCUCUUAGCUUAAUCCAAUCUAGGAUGCAUUUCCACUCUGCAACAAACAGUAUUUAUUUUUGCCUUAUUUGCAGAUAACAGUUUUAAUGCAGGUACUGCCCAUGGAUUAGCUUUGAGCAGUGUCUUUUUGCUUUGGUUUUUUUAUUUGUUUGGUUUGUUUUGAGACUGAGUCUCAGUCCUCCAGGCUGGAGUGCAGUGGUGUGACUUUGGCUCACUGCAACCUCUGCCUCCCGGGUUCAAGCGAGUCUCCUGCCUCAGCCUCCCAAGUAGCUGAGUCUACAGGCGUGAGCCACCAUCCCCGGCCAAGCAGUAUCUUUUUGCUUUGAAAGUGACUUACAUGUACAUUUGUUUUCCUUGUGAAUGUUUCUUUUUAACUGCAAACUAAGAAACAUUGAGCCCAGCAUUCAUAUAUUUGCAAACUCUGUCUUACUUAAUUUCUCAGUUUUUUUCCUCAGAAAAAAUGAAAUUCCUUUUCUUUUUUAAAUUUAUUUUUUCUUUAUUUUUCUUUAUAAAGUGAAGAGUAGGUAGCAUGAAUUCCUCUUGCCCUUUGCUAUUUCAGUCUGGCAUCAGUAGCAAUUGUUGCUAUGUCCAGUUUUCAUUCAUGGAUUUUUCUGGGAUUGAAGAUGAGUUCAAUGUUGAUUAUUUAAUUGGGCAGUAUAAGUAAAUUCAUUGGCUCUCCUUCCAGUUUAGUGAAUACUAAAUAUCAUCCAUGAUAUUUUAUACUUCUUACACUUCUGGAAUCUAACCUGAAAAUAGAAGUUGUAAGUCAGGGACGGUGGUAUGUGCCUCUAGUCUCAGCUAGUUGGGAGGCUGAGGCUUGAGCCCAGGCCUUCAAGGCUGUAGUGCACAAUGACUGUACUUGUGAAUAGCCACUGCACUCCAGCCUGGGCAACAUAGCAAGACUCCCACCCCUUAAGAAAAAAGAAGAGAGAAAAAAAUAGAAGUUGUGGAGAGGGAGGAGGAUGCUUGAAUACUUUGACCGUACUUGGCAUAAUAGACAUUUUGAGGGUUUUUUUGUUUUCUUAAAAUUCCUCUGGAUCAGUUUUCAUUGUUUCUAGUAAUUAUAUUUAUCGUUAAUGAAUUCAUAUUCUGCUCUAGCCCCUAAAGAUAGUUUGAUAUGCUAACUUUUGUUUUGCCUUUCUAGCUGCUAAGAUAGAUAAUGGUUAUUGCAAAAUGCACGUUUUUAAAUGGUCUCCAGUGUGGAUUGCUUCUGAGCUGCUGAUGGAUUGAAUACAUUGAGAAGGAAUGUGUCAUUUGGAAUCCAGGACCAGUCAGCAAGGAUAACUGCCUGAUUUUAUGAUUUCGUGACUGAUGCUGAAAUGGAAGCCAACCACUGCAGAAAUUUGGGGGAAAAUGAGAUCUGAAGAAUACAAGGGGAAGUAGGAAUUCAUUUCUAGCAUUUCCAAACCUGCUUAAUCGUGUCUGCUCCACCACAGUCAGAGGAAAAGACUGAGUUCAUGGAAAUUACCAGCUAAGCCUUACAUCUGUCUUUAAUGUUUUUAGGAAGUAUACUGAAAAGGUAAGUGAGAUGUCUGUUUUGAAGAAAGACUCUUACUGGGUACCUUAAAACCCGUUGUUUCCUAUUAGUAAAGAUGGGCAGCUUCUUUAUUCCUAGCUUCAAAAAGCCUUGCCCCUGUUUGGUGUGUUUCUCAGUAUUGUGGAGAAGGUAGUUUCUGAGCAAGGUGGUGCUUUUCCUCUGCUUCUCAGCAGCUAAGACAGAAAUUGCACCGAAGUGUACAAAGGGCCAAUUUUUGUUGUCCUGUUGUGCUCAAAUCCUUUUUUUUAAAAAAGUUAUUUCAAUCAAGUCUUAGUUUUAUUCCUCACUAUAUAGGAAAAAAAUCUUUAAUGCCUCAAAAGUUCCAUUCAGCAUUACAUUUGCAUUACUCUUAUUUGCAGCAAAUAUGAGUAAAAUUAUAGGUUUUUAAAGGUCUCUAAUAACAUCCACUUAUAUUGGUUUUGUAGAUAAUCCAUAAAUUACCAGAAAUAAAUUAUUCCACAUUUAUUACACACCCAUGUAAUAGAUGUCGUGCCAGGCCCUGGAAUAUACUAAUGGCAUCACCUCAUGUGGUAAAAAGACACAUUCCGCCAUCCUGGAGUAUACAAAGGUAGACUAGCAUAUAGUUCAUGUGCUCAAGGAGUUCAUUUUUAUUGACAUGAUACAGAUAGAAUUGUAGUUUAGGGAAUCAAAAUCUAAUAAAAUGAGGCUAAUUCCAUUUUCCCAUUAACACUAAUAACUAGUGUGUAAAUCUGAAUAUGACACAUUCUAUAUGAAAGAAGCUCUGUGUGCAUCUACACUAAAUACUCGUGUGUGCCAGGUACUGUUUUAAACUACGUAUAUUUUUUUAAUUCUCAUAACUGUUCUCUGAGGUAUGUACUAAUACUAAAGCUUAUUGUUAAAGGAAGGCAGAAAAAUUAAGUAACUUGGCCUAAGUUUGCAUAACUGUGAUCUGGGAUCAAUAUUUGAACCCAUACAGGCUGAUUGCAGAGCCUGCACUCUUAAUUUGAGUGUGAUAUUUAUGUGCAGUACCUGGCUAUAAGUACCCACAAAACGUUUCAAAUUCUUUAUAAAAUUUGCUUAGUUAAAAAAGUACCAAUUGCAUAAUAUGGUUAUAAGUCUGGUAGAAGUUAGGCUUUUUACAAGACAUGCUGCUUACUGCACCAAGGAGGCAAGAAGGCUUUUUAGAGAGCCCAGAAUUUCCUUUCCUCAACUCCUGCUUCCAAGACAGUCAUUUUGCAUGAUAACCGUUUCCCCAAAAAACACAGACACAAAAUUUAAAGAACUGGAACAGAGGAAGCAGAGCUUAUCAUAGUAUAUAUGUUUAGUACCCUGUCACUUAGGUCCACCCCUCUUUCUUUGUGGAUUGUGGACAUUUUGUUUAACUGCUAAAUCAUGAGAAUAUAUGACUGCUGAGACUUUUCCAAGGAUUUUUUAAAAAACACAUUAGGCUUUGUGCAGAAGUAAAGAAAAAGUGCUGUGAGAACCCCAGGUAGGUAAUUUACUUUCUAUUGUACUCAUAGUUUGUUUGAAACCUCUUCACCUCUAUCCCUUAUUGUUUUAUACUCUGUAAAUCUGAUUUUACCUUUAAUAAACUUUUCUGAAGUGAGUGAGUUUUUUUUGUCUUAUUUCCCAUUAGAUUCUCUACCUUCUUUGUUCACUUUACGUAUGUUAUUGCCACUCCCUUCAAAACUGGUGGUUUAAUUAAAGUGACAGCAUCUUCUAUAUACCCAGUACUGUUGAGGAUUAAAAAAUACAUGUGUGCCGGAUGUGGUGGCACACACCUAUAAUCCUAGCACUUUGGGAGGCCUCAGGCAGGAGGAUUGCUUGAGCUAAGGAGUUCGAGACCAGCCUGGUCAACGUGGCAAAACCCCAUCUCUACUAAAAAGACAGAAAGUUAACUGGGCCUGAUGUUGUGCACCUCUCACCCCAGCUACUUGGGAGGCUGAGAGGUGGGAGGGUCACUUGAUCCUGGGAGGUCAACGCUGCAGUGAGCUGAGAACAAGCCACUGCACUCCAGCCUGGGCGACAAAGCGAGACCCUGUCUCAAUAGAAAAAAGAAAAAGUGCCAAGGCUUUGCUCCUAGUUCGGUGCAGGUUCCAACCAGUACUAAAACUUUGCAAAUUUUUGAGGGAAAAACCAGAAGUUGUAGAAUCAAUAUGAGCAUUUAAUUGUAUAGCAAGCAAUUGUGGCAGAAAAAAUUCACCCUAGUGAAAUCAAGUUAACUAUUCUGUGAAUGAGAUUAACCAGAGGAACAAUUUUGACCAUGUAUCUUUUAAAUCACUGUUUCUCAAACUUCAGUGUGUAUGGGAAUCACCAGGGAUCUUGUUAAAAUGCAGAUUUUGAUUUAGUAGGUCUGGGGUCAACCUGGAGAAUUUGAAUUUAUUUUCUCUUUUUUUAAAAGUAGUUUGAAAUAUAUUUCACAUACCAUAAAAUUCACUCUUUAAAACUGUCCAAUUAACUGUUUUUUAGCAUGUAGAGUUGUUCCACUAUCACCAUUCUAAUUUCAGGACAUUUUCACCGUGCUGAAAAAGAAACCUUGUACCUAUCACUCCCCAUCCCCCUCUCCCUUCCACCCUUUUCCCCUCCACCAGCAUCUGGCAACUGUUAAUCCACUUUCUGCCUUAAUUUAUAUCUUCUGGACAUUUCAUAACGUUUUAUAGACUUCUGUACCUGGCGUCUUUCACUUAGUGUUCAAGGUUCAUCGAUGUUGUAGCAUGUAUCAGUACUUCAUUCCUUUUUGUGGCUGAAUAAUACUCCAUUGUAUGGCUAUAGCACGUUUUCUGUGUCCCUGCAUCAGUUUCCAUUUUUUGGCUAUUAUGAAUAAUACAGCUAUGAACAUUUAUGUACAAGAUUUUGUGUGAAAGUAUGUUUUCAUUUCUGUUGGGAAUAUACCUAGGAGUGGAAUUAUUGGGUCAUAUGGUAACUAACAUUUUAAAGAACCGGGAAA
rnacentral:lncRNA from 1 species